GACAGAGGGUGCAAACGUUGUUCGGAUUUACUGGGCGUAAAGCGCGUGUAGGCGGCUUGGCAAGUCGGAUGUGAAAGCCCACGGCUCAACCGUGGAAGCGCAUCCGAAACUGCUUCGCUCGAGUCUCGGAGAGGAAGGUGGAAUGCUUGGUGUAGAGGUGAAAUGCGCAGAUAUCAGGAGGAACACCAAUGGCGAAGGCAGCACUCUGGGACGUGACUGACGCUGAGACGCGAAAGCGUGGGGAGCAAACAGG
rnacentral:rRNA from 1 species